rnacentral:rRNA from 1 species
GAUGAACGCUGGCGGCGUGCCUAAUACAUGCAAGUCGAGCGAACGGACGAGAAGCUUGCUUCUCUGAUGUUAGCGGCGGACGGGUGAGUAACACGUGGAUAACCUACCUAUAAGACUGGGAUAACUUCGGGAAACCGGAGCUAAUACCGGAUAAUAUUUUGAACCGCAUGGUUCAAAAGUGAAAGACGGUCUUGCUGUCACUUAUAGAUGGAUCCGCGCUGCAUUAGCUAGUUGGUAAGGUAACGGCUUACCAAGGCAACGAUGCAUAGCCGACCUGAGAGGGUGAUCGGCCACACUGGAACUGAGACACGGUCCAGACUCCUACGGGAGGCAGCAGUAGGGAAUCUUCCGCAAUGGGCGAAAGCCUGACGGAGCAACGCCGCGUGAGUGAUGAAGGUCUUCGGAUCGUAAAACUCUGUUAUUAGGGAAGAACAUAUGUGUAAGUAACUGUGCACAUCAUGACGGUACCUAAGCAGAAAGCCACGGCUAACUACGUG